rnacentral:rRNA from 1 species
GUGCAUGGCAGACGGGUGAGUAACGCGUGGGGAAUCUACCUCUUUGUGGGGAAUAACGCUCCGAAAGGAGUGGUAAUACCGCAUGAGAUCCAUGGCUGGAAUGUUGUGGAUGAAACCUGGGGACCUUCGGGCCUGGGGCAAGGAGAGGAUCCUGCGUCUGAUUAGCUAGUUGGUGAGGUAAUGGCCCACCAAGGCGACGAUCAGUAGCCGGCCUGAGAGGGUGAUCGGCCACACUGGAACUGAGACACGGUCCAGACUCCUACGGGAGGCAGCAGUGGGGAAUUUUGCGCAAUGGGCGAAAGCCUGACGCAGCAACGCCGCGUGGGUGAUGAAGGUCUUCGGAUCGUAAAACCCUGUCGUCGGGGACGAAGGUGGAGGGGUUAAUAGCCUCUUUGCUUGACGGUACCCGGAGAGGAAGCCCCGGCUAACUCUGUGCCAGCAGCCGCGGUAAUACAGAGGGGGCAAGCGUUAUUCGGAAUUAUUGGGCGUAAAGGGCGCGUAGGCGGCUUUUUAAGUGAGAUGUGUAAUCCCUGAGCUCAACUUGGGAACUGCAUCUCAUACUGGGAGGCUAGAGUACUGGAGAGGGUGGUAGAAUUCCACGUGUAGCGGUGAAAUGCGUAGAGAUGUGGAGGAAUACCAGUGGCGAAGGCGGCCACCUGGACAGUAACUGACGCUGAGGCGCGAAAGUGUGGGUAGCAAACAGGAUUAGAUACCCUGGUAGUCCACACUGUAAACGAUGAACACUUGGUGUGGAGGGAGUUGACCCCUUC